UACGUAGGGUGCAAGCGUUGUCCGGAAUUAUUGGGCGUAAAGAGCUCGUAGGCGGCUUGUCGCGUUCGGCUGUGAAAACCUGAGGCUCAACCUCGGGCUUGCAGCCGAUACGGGCAAGCUAGAAUUCGGUAGGGGAGACUGGAAUUCCUGGUGUAGCGGUGAAAUGCGCAGAUAUCAGGAGGAACACCGGUGGCGAAGGCGGGUCUCUGGGCCGAUAUUGACGCUGAGGAGCGAAAGCGUGGGGAGCAAACAGG
rnacentral:rRNA from 1 species